UACGUAGGGCGCAAGCGUUGUCCGGAAUUAUUGGGCGUAAAGAGCUCGUAGGCGGCCUGUUGCGUCCGCUGUGAAAUCCCGGGGCUCAACCCCGGGCCUGCAGUGGAUACGGGCUGGCUAGAGGCAGGCAGGGGGAGAACGGAAUUCCUGGUGUAGCGGUGAAAUGCGCAGAUAUCAGGAGGAACACCGGUGGCGAAGGCGGGUCUCUGGGCCGUAACUGACGCUGAGGAGCGAAAGCGUGGGGAGCGAACAGG
rnacentral:rRNA from 1 species